AUAUCUCAAAUAUUACUGAAACAGUCUUACUGGAUUGGAUUAUCAUAUGGAGUUGAUGGCUGGUCUUGGGUGGAUGGAUCAAAACUUUCUACAAAGAGAAUGGACUGGAUUGAUUUGUCCUUUAAGCAAAACUGUGCAUACCUAUUUUAUCAUAGGUCAACAGUUUACAGUGAGAAUUGUUAUGAGAAACAUCCCUGGAUUUGUGAGAAGGCAGCAGUCCAUCUGAUCUAAAAAGAUUAUCAACAGAAAAAGAACUGGAAGAGGAUGAAGACUUUGAUGUUCAGAUUUUCAAAGAAGGGGUGUAAAAUAAUGUUUAAUACAAAUUCAGAGCAGAGUCCAUCCUUUCUUCCUAGUGUAUUCACACAAAAAAAAUGGAAAUGAUACAGAAAACCUUUGCAGAUAAAAAGAACCAGUAUUAACAAAUAUCUAUGAAUCAGAGACAAGAUAUUAGUCUUAGUGUUCUAGUUCAGAAACCUCUACUUAAGCAAUGCUGACAAUCUUGAGCAUUACUUACAGCCAAAGAAAUCAGAAGUGUAAAGGCCUUUGGGACCACUUCUUGUCACUCUGUUUGGAAUUUCAUGUAUAUCCAUCUAUGCUGACCUCUCAUAGUUCUUAACUAUUUCCAGCCCUCUCUUCAGCACACUCACUUUUUUCAGCUAUUCUGUAUUAUUUUAAAACUCUAAGGCAGUCUUCUCUCUUUUACUACUCAAAAAUGUGUGUCUCCCUUGUUCACUACUCGGCAGUGAAGCAUUACUUGGCACCCUUGUCCUCUUCGUGACUGGGUAUAAUAGAUGAAUUUUAGAUAUGUUCAAAUUUUACUUCCAGACAAUGUUUGGUUUGCUUUACAUGCAAUACUAUGAUCUUCUAAGAAUGCCUGUAAGUCAGUGUUACAUGAGUUUUUAUAAACAUUAUGUUAUUACCAUAAUCGCCAUUUCACUCAUGCAGGGAGAAGGAUUCUUGCAAGAAUGCCAUCUGAUGGCUAUUAGUCUUUAGCUAACAUAGAAUAUGUUAUCUCUUUACCUAAUGUAUCUCAGUGUAUGGAAGGAUGGAUAUGUGCCAUAAUCGCUACACACUCAAUGCAUGUGACAUGAAUGGCAGCAUUGAUAGCUGGAAUGCUGUGAUGGUAUUCAGAAAAAUAUUAAUUGCUGAACUGGGAAUGGAAUUUUCCAAUUUUCCUGGGUUCAGCAUUAGCAGUCAUUUUUCUCCUUGUUAGUAAUGGGUACAGUGUUGUGUUUUCGACUUUAGCCUGAGAACAAUGCUGAUAACACCCUAAUAGUUUUAGUUGUUGCUAAGUAAUGAUUACAACUUAAACCAUUGAUGUGUUAUCAGGUAUCCUGAACCCAGGACACCGAUGUAAUGGCAACCACAUAUUUUUGGUGUUGCAUAUUAAUUGUCUUUCAGAAUGGAUGAUUUUCUAAACAUAAGUAACUGUGUCUGGUGUAUCUUCUUCAGGAUGCUGAGGAGAGGGAGGCGGGUAAAAAGCAAUCUCACAGUCCUGGACUUCAGGAAAGCAGAGUCUGGCCUCUGCAAAGAUGAGUUUUCUGACUGAAAAGGGUCCCAUGGGAUAAGGUUCUAGAGGGAACAGAACCCCAAGAAAGUUGGUUAAUAUUCAAGGAUUACCUCUUCCAAACUCAGGAGCCUAUCCAACAAGUAGGAAGUCAGGCAGGAAUUCAAGGAGACCUACAUGGAUGAACAAGUUUAUCCUGGCAAAACUAAAACACAAAUAGGAAGAAUACAGAGAGUGGAAGCAGGGACAGGUAGCCUGGAAGGAACACAGAAACACUGUCUGAGCAUGCAGGGAUAAGGUUAGGAAAGCCAAAGCCUGAAAGGAAUUGAAUCUGGUGAGGGGGGCAUCAAAGGCAAAAAGGAUGGCUUCUACAAGCACACAGGUGACAAAGAAAGGGAAAAAUGUAGGGAAAAUGUAGGCCCUCUGCUGAAUGAGACCAUCAUUAAGUUCAGUAAGGAGAAGUGCAAAGUCCUGUAACCGGAAAGGAACAACCUCAUGCACCAGUAUAUGCUGGGGACUGACCAGCUGGAAAGCAGCCUUGCAGAAAAGAAUUAUGGAUCUGCUGGACACCAAAUUUACCAUGAGCCAAGAGCAUGCCCUUGUGGAGAAGAAAGCUUAUGGCAUCCUGGGCUGUAUUCGAAGUGCUGCCAGCAGGUUUAGAGAGGUAAUCCUUCCCCUCUGCUUAGCACUGGUGAGAUAACACCUGGGUCCAGUGCUAGGCUCACCAGUACAAGAAAGACACGGACGUACUGGAGAGAGUCCAGUGAAGGACCAUGAAGAUGACAAAGGGACUGAAGCAGCCUCCCUGUGAGGGAAGGCUGAGAGGGCUGUGUUGGUUUAGCCUGGAGAAGAAAAGGUUUGGAGGAAAAUUUAUUAACGCAUAUAAACACUUGAAGGGAGGGUACAAAGCAGAGUGAGGCGCUUUCCAGUGCUGCCCCAUGACGGGACCAGAGGCAAUGGGCACAAACUGUAGCACAGGAGGGUCCCUCUGAACAUCAGGAAACACUUUCUUAUUGUGAGUGGCACCAAACACUGGCACUGGUUGCCCAAAGAGGUUGUGCAGUCCUUGUCCGUGGAGACAUUCAAAAGCUGUCUGGACAUAGUCCUGGACAACCGGUUCUAGGUAGCCCUGCUUGAGCAGGAGGGUUGGAGCAGAUGACCUCCAGAGGUGAUAGAAUCACAGAAUAUUUGAGUUGGAAGAGACCUUAAAGACCAUCUAGUCCUAUCCCUGCUGCCAUAUGCAGAGAAGCCUUCCACUAGACCAGGUUGCUCAAAGCCCCAUCCAGCCUGGCCUUGAACACUGGCAAGGAUGGGGCACCCACAGCUCCUCUGGGCAACUUGUGCCAGUGUCUCAUCACCCUCAUUGUAAAGUAUUUAUUCCUUAUAUCAAUGCAAAUCUACCCUCUUUAAAAUCGUUGCUUCAUGGCCUGUCACUACAGGUAAAAAGUCUCUCUCUGUCUUUUGUUUAAGUUCCCUUUAUAUGUUGAAAGGCCACAAUAAGGUCUCCCCAGAGCCUUCUGCUCUCCAGGCUGAACAAGCCCAGCUCUCUCAGCAUUUCCACAUAGGAGAGGUGCUCCAGCCCUCUGAUCUGAAGUCCCUUCCAACCUCAAUCAUCUGGUGAGUCUGUGUUUUUUCUAGGAGCUCAAAUUUUAGAUCCUAGUGAAUAAAAUCUCUGUGUGAUACUGAUGUGGCUAUGUUGAAAUGAGGUGCUCAAUUUAGUUUAUAGUGCUUGCUAUUUUUUAGUAGGAACACUAAUUACAAAAAUCUCCUUAUUGUUGUUCCAAGUUUGAAAGUGACUUUUAGAUCUUUACUUCAUGCUGGAAAACUGAGUUGGGUGGACAAAUUAGAAAAGGUAUUUUGCCAUACUUUGUCACACUUAAUACAUUACAUCCAUUACAAAUUUGAUGCAUAUUUCUAUAUGCAUUUGGCAUAGGUACACACUGGAACCACCACAUUCAGCAAUGACACUUCCUGGUCUAUGAAUAUGUAAUAUUUGUGACACGGUCUUACUUAUACAGCAGAAUAAACUGCUCCCUUCCUUUGAGUUGUAACCUUAUGCCUGAAGAUGCAAGUUUUUUAAGUGCAUAAGAUUUUUGCAGUCAUAACAUGGUCAAGUUGAUAUUAAUUAUUUAUUUGCUUUCCCCUACAAAAUACUGCUUUCCAGCUACACAAUUCUUAUCAAAUACAUGCACCACAAUUUGUGCUAUGGCAAGCCUUCAGCUUAAUCCAACACUAAAAAUAGCAGCAAAUAUGACUUCAGCAUGGUCAUUUGACUGUCCAUCUCCAGGAAAUGCUUUACCCACAAAGGCAUCUUGUGCAUUUGUGUUCCAACUGAGUGCUCCAAUUCCAUAUGUCACUUGAAUCUGUUUGUUUCAGGUGUUGCUGUUACUAGCUGUGUUCUUCUAAAAGAAGCCCAAUAAAUCUAAAGAUUGAGAAAGAAUAAAAUACAGGAAACACUGAA